ensembl:snRNA U6 U6 spliceosomal RNA
GGUGCUUCUGCAGACCAUGUACUAAAAUUAGAACAGCACAGAGAAGAUUAGCAUGGCCCCUGAGCAAGGAUGACAUGCAAAUUCAUGAAGUGGUCCAUAUUUUU